rnacentral:rRNA from 1 species
AGCAGCCGCGGUAAUUCCAGCUCCAAUAGCGUAUAUUAAAGUUGUUGCAGUUAAAAAGCUCGUAGUUGAAUUUCGGGGUCAGUAGGUUGGUCAUGCCACUGGUAUGUACUGGUCUCACUGAUUCCUCCUUCCUGAUGAGCCGUAAUGCCAUUAAUUUGGUGUUGCGAGGAAUCUGGACUGUUACUUUGAAAAAAUUAGAGUGUUUAAAGCAGGCUAACGCUUGAAUACAUUAGCAUGGAAUAAUGAAAUAGGACGUUCGAUCUUAUUUUGUUGGUUUCUAAGAUUGACGUAAUGAUUAAUAGGGAUAGUUGGGGGCAUUAGUAUUCAAUUGUCAGAGGUGAAAUUCUUGGAUUUAUUGAAGACUAACUACUGCGAAAGCAUUUGCCAAGGAUGUUUUCAUUAAUCAAGAACGAAAGUUAGGGGAUCGAAGACGAUCAGAUACCGUCGUAGUCUUAACCAUAAACUAUGCCGACUAGGGAUCGGGAUGAUGUUAAUUUUUUAAUGUACCCAUUCGGCGUAC